GACGGGGUGAAUAAACUGAGUCUAAAAAAAAGCUUAAACACUUUGACAAUAUUUAAAAUAAUGACAGUAAAGAAAUAAUAAGAGAAGUAACAUAGAAAGAAAGAGGGACACAAUGAUUUAUCGUGAUUCAUAACUCAAUGUGAGUUGUUACAUCCACUUCCAAGGGUUUAGCCUUGGAUUUUCUUUGACUAUGAACAGCAGCAACCUAAGCAGUGA
rnacentral:lncRNA from 1 species